rnacentral:rRNA from 1 species
UACGUAGGGGGCAAGCGUUAUCCGGAUUUACUGGGUGUAAAGGGAGCGUAGACGGCAUGGCAAGUCAGAUGUGAAAGCCCGGGGCUCAACCCCGGGACUGCAUUUGAAACUGUCAGGCUGGAGUGCAGGAGAGGUAAGCGGAAUUCCUAGUGUAGCGGUGAAAUGCGUAGAUAUUAGGAGGAACACCAGUGGCGAAGGCGGCUUACUGGACUGUAACUGACGCUGAGGCUCGAAAGCAUGGGUAGCGAACAGG